rnacentral:rRNA from 1 species
UACGUAGGGCGCAAGCGUUGUCCGGAAUUAUUGGGCGUAAAGAGCUCGUAGGCGGUCUGUCGCGUCGGAUGUGAAAGCCCGGGGCUUAACCUGGGAAUGGCCGUUGAAACUGGCGAACUGGAGUGUGGCAGAGGGGGGUGGAAUUCCGCGUGUAGCAGUGAAAUGCGUAGAGAUGCGGAGGAACACCGAUGGCGAAGGCAGCCCCCUGGGCUGACACUGACGCUCAGGCACGAAAGCGUGGGGAGCAAACAGG